GUGGGGAAUAUUGCACAAUGGGGGAAACCCUGAUGCAGCGACGCCGCGUGAGCGAAGAAGUAUUUCGGUAUGUAAAGCUCUAUCAGCAGGGAAGAAAAUGACGGUACCUGACUAAGAAGCACCGGCUAAAUACGUGCCAGCAGCCGCGGUAAUACGUAUGGUGCAAGCGUUAUCCGGAUUUACUGGGUGUAAAGGGAGCGUAGACGGCGCAGCAAGUCUGAUGUGAAAGGCAGGGGCUUAACCCCUGGACUGCAUUGGAAACUGCUGUGCUUGAGUGCCGGAGGGGUAAGCGGAAUUCCUAGUGUAGCGGUGAAAUGCGUAGAUAUUAGGAGGAACACCAGUGGCGAAGGCGGCUUACUGGACGGUAACUGACGUUGAGGCUCGAAAGCGUGGGGAGCAAACAGGAUUAGAUACCCCAGUAGUCC
rnacentral:rRNA from 1 species